CCCGGGCCGGACGCGAGCAGCAGCCGGGGGCGGCGACGGGGGGUCGGGAGGACGGCGGCCCGCGCGGCUCCCACGCUUCCGCCCGAGUCAGGAGUUGAACAUUCCGCCUCUCCGCCCAGCGCCAAUGAGGAAGACAGUGCCCGCAACAGCACCACCUACCUCCGAGCGUGGAACGGCCGGAGGGCGCGCGGGGCUUGGGGAAGACGCCGGGCCUCCCCGGGGUCCUCCCGGGUGCGCCUGCCCUCAGGUGGCACCUGCCCUGCCGUGGGGGCUCAGGCGGGGUGGCUCUGUGCGCUGUGCACCUUCACAUCUUUUGAACAAGUUAACACCACCUAUUUCCUCAACUCAGCCCUUACCAACAAACAUUUCCUGUGGAAUACAGAGAUGCAAGGCUGCUUCCCCCGCUACAGGAGUUAAUUACCUAGCUGGGAAGAGGACAGACCGAUCCAAUAAACAGAGAUGAGCUUUCAUCGCCAGAAAACUACAUCUUACCCCAGCUCUAUGUCUGGUUUUGGAGGAACAUUCUGUGACCCUGUGGGACUACUAUAGCGUGGAACAUACUCUAGAAUAUUCUGACAUUAAAAAAGAUACAUGUCAACUGCACUAGUCAGAGUGAGGAUUUAAUAAUAUGGAUAACUGUUGAACCACUGUGUUGAACACUUGAAACCACUAUAAGAUUGUGUAUCAAAUAUACUUCAAUAAAAAAGUAAAUGAAAUGAACAAAAUGAAAAAACUGAAAA